rnacentral:rRNA from 1 species
GAUGAACGCUGGCGGCGUGCCUAAUACAUGCAAGUCGAGCGAACAGACGAGGAGCUUGCUCCUCUGACGUUAGCGGCGGACGGGUGAGUAACACGUGGAUAACCUACCUAUAAGACUGGGAUAACUUCGGGAAACCGGAGCUAAUACCGGAUAAUAUAUUGAACCGCAUGGUUCAAUAGUGAAAGACGGUUUUGCUGUCACUUAUAGAUGAAUCCGCGCCGCAUUAGCUAGUUGGUAAGGUAACGGCUUACCAAGGCAACGACGCGUAGCCGACCUGAGAGGGUGAUCGGCCACACUGGAACUGAGACACGGUCCAGACUCCUACGGGAGGCAGCAGUAGGGAAUCUUCCGCAAUGGGCGAAAGCUUGACGGAGCAACGCCGCGUGAGUGAUGAAGGUCUUCGGAUCGUAAAACUCUGUUAUUGGGGAAGAACAAAUGUGUAAGUAACUAUGCACGUCUUGACGGUACCUAAUCAGAAAGCCACGGCUAACUACGUG